GAUGAACGCUGGCGGCGUGCCUAAUACAUGCAAGUCGAGCGAACAGACGAGGAGCUUGCUCCUCUGACGUUAGCGGCGGACGGGUGAGUAACACGUGGAUAACCUACCUAUAAGACUGGGAUAACUUCGGGAAACCGGAGCUAAUACCGGAUAAUAUAUUGAACCGCAUGGUUCAAUAGUGAAAGACGGUUUUGCUGUCACUUAUAGAUUGAUCCGCGCCGCAUUAGCUAGUUGGUAAGGUAACGGCUUACCAAGGCAACGAUGCGUAGCCGACCUGGGAGGGUGAUCGGCCACACUGGAACUGAGACACGGUCCAGACUCCUACGGGAGGCAGCAGUAGGGAAUCUUCCGCAAUGGGCGAAAGCCUGACGGAGCAACGCCGCGUGAGUGAUGAAGGUCUUCGGAUCGUAAAACUCUGUUAUUAGGGAAGAACAAAUGUGUAAGUAACUAUGCACGUCUUGACGGUACCUAAUCAGAAAGCCACGGCUAACUACGUG
rnacentral:rRNA from 1 species